GACGAACACUGGCGGCGUGCCUAAUACAUGCAAGUCGAGCGAACCAAAGAGAGCUUGCUCUCUGAGGUUAGCGGCGGACGGGUGAGUAACACGUGGGUAACCUGCCUGUAAGACGGGGAUAACUUCGGGAAACCGAAGCUAAUACCGGAUGAUAAAGAGAAACGCCUGUUUCUCUUUUGAAAGUCGGCCUUGUGCUGACGCUUACAGAUGGGCCCGCGGCGCAUUAGCUAGUUGGUGAGGUAACGGCUCACCAAGGCGACGAUGCGUAGCCGACCUGGGAGGGGGAUCGGCCACACUGGGACUGAGACAAGGCCCAGACUCCUACGGGAGGCAGCAGUAGGGAAUCUUCGGCAAUGGACGAAAGUCUGACCGAGCAACGCCGCGUGAGCGAUGAAGGCCUUCGGGUCGUAAAGCUCUGUUGUCAGAGAAGAACAAGUACCGGAGUAACUGCCGGUACCUUGACGGUACCUGACCAGAAAGCCACGGCUAACUACGUGCCAGCCGCCGCGGUAAAAC
rnacentral:rRNA from 1 species